CCGGGAAACUGGUGAUAAUUCCGAAUAAACCAUUAUUGCUGGAAUGCUUUUUGGUUCAAAGACUUCGGUUGCCUAAGGAUGGAUCUGCGGUCUAUCAGGUAGUAGUGGGUGUAAGGUACCUACUAGCCUACGACGGAUAUGGGUUGUGAGAGCAAGAGCCCAGAGAUGGAUUCUGAGACAUGAAUCCAGGCCCUACGGGGCGCAGCAGGCGCGAAAACUUUACAAUGCGGGAAACCGCGAUAAGGGGACACCGAGUGCCAGCAUAUUAUGUUGGCUGUCCACAUGUGUAAACGGCAUGUGUUAGCAAGGGCCGGGCAAGACCGGUGCCAGCCGCCGCGGUAACACCGGCGGCCCGAGUGGUAAUCACUUUUAUUGGGUCUAAAGGGUCCGUAGCCUGUUUGAUCAGUUCUUCGGGAAAUCUGACAGCUUAACUGUUAGGCUUCCGGGGAAUACUGUCAGACUUGGGACCGGGAGAGGUAAGAGGUACUACAGGGGUAGGAGUGAAAUCUUGUAAUCCCUGUGGGACCACCAGUGGCGAAGGCGUCUUACCAGAACGGGUCCGACGGUGAGGGACGAAAGCUGGGGGCACGAACCGGAUUAGAUACCCGGGUAGUCCCAGCCGUAAACGAUGUUCGCUAGGUGUCAGGGACGGUGCGACCGUUUCUGGUGCCGCAGGGAAGCCGUGAAGCGAACCACCUGGGAAGUACGGCCGCAAGGCUGAAACUUAAAGGAAU
rnacentral:rRNA from 1 species